UUGGCUGUGCUUUGGUAGAGUUUUUGGGCCAGAGGCUGCCCUGAAACCGGGCUACCUCUCCCACCAUCUCAUCUCUACUUCCCACCCUGUGUGACCCCCUGUGGCCACAGCCACCGUGCCAGCACGGCCAUCCAUGCAGCCACACUCCUCUGCCCAGUGCACAGCUGCACAAACAGGGGCUUGGCAGCAGGCAGCCCCAGGGCAGCAGGGAGAAGGCAGAGCCCCUGCCUCCUUAUGCUGGCAUGGCAGCAAAAUAUUUUCACAGGACAAGUAAUCUUAACCCCUGGCAGCCUGGGUACUCUGAGCUCCAUAAAACUCAAGAACAGGACAAACCCCAAGCACCCUCAGUCCUCAGUGGAGGGGACGGGUAUUGAGGGCUGAAUGCCAGGCUGGGGGUGCCAGUCACAAUUUCCAUUGGCUUUCCUGGCUCCAGCAAGCGAAGAUCCUGCAGUGCCCAUCCAGAGAGGCUCACAAGUUACUGCUCACUCGGAGCAGCCAGACCGGUUUGGAGCAUGACUGCAUGAAUGAGCACAGGAUGGCUGUAACAGGACACCGAGUGGGAUCCCAGAGAAUGGGAGUGUUUUGCAUACCUGCUGCUUACCCAUGCUUCAGGUACACAAAAAUGCAAAUAAAAUAAAACUUGCAGCCACCAUCACUUGCUCCCCUGUAUUGGAAAAGCAGCCUUAUGUAACAGACUGGAAAUGACAGGAAAGCAUUUCCCAGAAGCAGAGAGCAGGACCCAGAGCAGAAGCAGAAGAGAACUGAUGGCUGGAAGGCAGGGAGAGAGGGACAGAGUGGGUUGCCUGGAGGUGGGAGCAUCCCAGACUCGAUCCAGAUGAAGAAAUAAAUGAUGACUGAAACAUAACACAGGAUUUACCAUGACAGGAGUGAAAGGUUAUAAAGACCUAAACUGUUUAUUUGCAUGAGAACAUAAUGGUUCUUGUCAUCAACGUGGUGUUGGUAGGAAUGACUUCCAUCUAGGGGAUGCAGAAAAAUCCAGAAGAUAAAUUUCAGCACUAGUAACACUUUAAUGGAAUAAGAUUGAAAAGGAGGAUGAAUAUGGAAAUUAAGACAGGGAUGACACUGUAAUAAUUUAUGUGUAGCAUCUGGGAGCAGCAGUACCACUCAAGGAAAAAACAAACAACACUAAUCAACAUCAGAUGUAUUGAUAUUUUAAAAUAGACUUUAUUUAAUGACAAUAAAUAUAAAGAAAUCUUAAUAUUCAGAAACCAAUUG